rnacentral:misc_RNA from 1 species
ACAAUAUGUUUCAGUACGGAAGACGAUAUAGAAUCAGAUUAAACCUUUGUAGAUAUUAACUGUUGUCUUGUGAGAGUAGCUUCAAUAACUCGGGUUUUCUUUGUUGGAUCUUCUUUUAAAAUAUCAAACAUUUAAAUUCAAACAUUAAUAUUACAACUGUGUGGGGUUUUGCGACUUGAAAAUAUUGACGCAGAUCUGAUGGAUAAGUCUGCGAUGGGUAGAUUAUUUAGAAUUUUGAUCUGGACUUUCUUGCUCGCAUCAAUGUAUGGACAGGUGUUGUUUGAUGACAUGGGAGAUCGACAGAGGUCUGCAGACUUGGCGUUAUACUUCAUGAGAACCGAAUUUCAGCAAUUUAGUCAAAAUAUUGAAAGAAUGGUGAUGAAAAAAAUUGACAGAGUCGCAAACAUCAUCGAGGUAAAGAUCAGCAAAAUGGAAACAAAAAACAAUGAGUGUUUCACUACGAUACACAAAGAACAACGACUAUUAAGUCAGAAAAUUGAGUAUCUUGUGACCAAUUUGUCUACGAAUUUUGAGAAAAUCAAUGAUCAAAUGACCACAAUUCACACUGAACAUCGACUCUUUAGGCCGAAAAUGAUUUCUGUUGCAACCAAAGUCGAUACUUUGUUAUACAAUUGUAAAAAAAAUAAUUUGGAGGCAAGAGAGAAUGUCCUUAACGACAUGAGAAAUGGUUCCGACUGUGCUAACAUUUUGGAAAAUUAUCCAGACACCAGAUUGAGGGAUGGUGUGUAUAAUAUCAUGGUUUCAAAUAAAACAAAGGCUGUGUACUGUGAUAUGACCACUGACAAUGGAGGAUGGACGGUAAUUCAGCGGAGAGUGAAUGGAUCGGUGGACUUUAACCGUAACUGGGCAGAUUACAAGAACGGAUUUGGAUUUGCUGAACACGAGCAUUGGAUAGGAAAUGACAUGCUUCACGUGUUGACGUCACUGAAGCCCCAGGAACUGCGAGUUGACAUGGAGAGAUUUAAUGGAGAGAAGGCCUAUGCUGUUUACUCUAAUUUUUCUGUCGGGGACGAGGCCAGUAAAUAUCAGCUUCAGGUGAAUGGAUACAGUGGGACUGCAGGGGAUGGUCUGAAUUACAACACUAACAUGAAGUUUUCUACACGAGACCAGGAUAAUGAUGAGUGUGACUGUGACUGUGCCAACGAAAGGAGAUCGGCAUGGUGGUUCGAUUACUGUGCCUACGCCAACCCUAAUGGACUGUACACAGACUCUGAGAAAACUGGUAGUACCUACUACAUUAUGUGGUCCAAAUAGAAAAACUCGUACAUGUCUCUAAAAACGAUGCAGUUGAUGAUUCGUCCUCGAGCCUGACAUCAUGAUUUAACGUUCACAUCUUUAUAAAGCCAUUAACUAUAUAUAUAGUGGCUUUAUUCCUCCAUAUGCAAGAUAAAUUAUGAUUAAUUAUGUCAGCAUGUAAGAAAAUUAUGUCUUCAUCCAAGAUAAUUAUGUCUACAUGCAAGAUAACUAUGUUGACAAAUCAUUUAAGAUAAUCUAAUAAUAAUAAUGGUAAAAUCAAUCACUAACGUGGUAUGUGACAUCAUAGAUAAGGAUGCAACAUAAUUUUGCAACAUGCGACUUAUAAGUGUUGACAUGGAAGAUGAUUAUCUAGAUAUACAACAUAUUUAUGUCGACAUGCGACUUAUAUAUUUCAGCUGACGACCUAUUAAACAUGCAAGAUAUUUAUUUUGACGUGCGAGAUAAUUAUAGUGACAUGCCACUCAUUUAUGUCAACAUGGGAGUUAAUAAUGUUAACAUGAAAGAUAUCCAUGUCAACAUGCAAGUUAUCUCGCAUGUUGUUAUAAAUAACUUGCAUGUAAACAUAAUUAUCCCAGAUGUUGACAUAAAUAUCACCCAUGUAACAUAAUUAUCUUCCAUGUUGACAUAAAUAUGUACCAUGUCAACAUAAUUAUCUUCCAUGUUGACAUAAAUAUCUUAUGUUACAAAAGGUUCAAAAUGGUGAUACAUCUUUAUUCCAUUUACUUACAUAUACAUUAUUAUUUAAUAUAUCAUUUAAGAGUGUGUAGUUAAAUUCUGCUAUUCUUUUCUCAUACAUACUCUUUAUUUUGUACACAUAUAUACAUUUUUCCAUAUAUAUAUAACCAUUCCUCAAUGUUGAAUAUUCGCUUCCAUUUAUUUUUUUGAACCGAUUUUUGAAAUUUAUAUCAAUGAAUAUUGAGUAGUAAAAAUUGUUUUUGUAGAUCUUCUUUGUUAUAGAUGUUGUAACAUGAUUUUUAAAAAUAACAUGUACAUCAUGCAUGUUGACGUAAUUUAUCUGGCUUGUAGGGGCAAAAAUAUAUCGCCAUAAUAAACAACUAUUCUCUUUC